GACGAACGCUGGCGGCGUGCUUAACACAUGCAAGUCGAACGGAAAGGCCCUGCUUUGGUGGGGUGCUCGAGUGGCGAACGGGUGAGUAACACGUGAGUAACCUGCCCUUGACUUUGGGAUAACUUCAGGAAACUGGGGCUAAUACCGGAUAGGAGCUCCUGCUGCAUGGUGGGGGUUGGAAAGUUUCGGCGGUUGGGGAUGGACUCGCGGCUUAUCAGCUUGUUGGUGGGGUAGUGGCUUACCAAGGCUUUGACGGGUAGCCGGCCUGAGAGGGUGACCGGCCACAUUGGGACUGAGAUACGGCCCAGACUCCUACGGGAGGCAGCAGUGGGGAAUAUUGCACAAUGGGCGGAAGCCUGAUGCAGCAACGCCGCGUGCGGGAUGACGGCCUUCGGGUUGUAAACCGCUUUCGCCUGUGACGAAGCGUGAGUGACGGUAAUGGGUAAAGAAGCACCGGCUAACUACGU
rnacentral:rRNA from 1 species